AGUCAACAUGCCCAGGGGACGUGGAUAACCUCGGGAAACUGAGGAUAAACCGCGAUAGGUCAUAAUGUCUGGAAUGAUUUAUGGCUGAAAUCUACAUGGCCCCUGGAUUGGACUGCGGCCGAUCAGGCUGUUGGUGAGGUAAUGGCCCACCAAACCUAAAACCGGUACGGGCUCUGAGAGGAGGAGCCCGGAGAUGGGCACUGAGACAAGGGCCCAGGCCCUAUGGGGCGCAGCAGGCGCGAAACCUCUGCAAUAGGCGAAAGCUUGACAGGGUUAUUCUGAGUGGUUUCCGCUAAGGAAAUCUUUUGGCACCUCUAAAAAUGGUGCAGAAUAAGGGGUGGGCAAGCCUGGUGUCAGCCGCCGCGGUAAUACCAGCACCCCGAGUGGUCGGGACGAUUAUUGGGCCUAAAGCAUCCGUAGCCGGUUCUGCAAGUCUUCCGUUAAAUCCACCUGCUCAACAGUUGGGCUGCGGAGGAUACUAUAGAGCUAGGAGGCGGGAGAGGCAAGCGGUACUUAGUGGGUAGGGGUAAAAUCCGUUGAUCCACUGAAGACCACCAGUGGCGAAGGCGGCUUGCCAGAACGCGCUCGACGGUGAGGGAUGAAAGCUGGGGGAGCAAACCGGAUUAGAUACCCGGGUAGUCCCAGCUGUAAGCGAUGCAGACUCGGUGAUGAAUAAGCUUCGUGCUUAUUCAGUGCCGCAGGGAAGCCGUUAAGUCUGCCGCCUGGGGAGUACGGUCGCAAGACUGAAACUUAA
rnacentral:rRNA from 1 species